CUGGCUGAUGAUGAACUGUUAUCAUGAGCCAAAAUACACGUUUCCUCUUUUAAAUUGUGGGUGUUGGGUAUUGUGUCCCAGCAAUGAGAAGGUAACUAAGACAGGGCGGUAUAAAGAAGAAAGCACAGCCAGAGAGGUAGCAGAAGAAUUCAGCCAAGCAGAGAGAGCAUUUCAAGAGACAGUGAACUGCUGUGAAACACGGAGAGUGUCCAGUAAGAGCUGCCGAUUCUUCUCUUACCUCAGUCACAAUGCACACCACUGCCUUCCUUGAGGUGACUGAAGAAAACGGAUUCUGCCACUUUUAGGUUUGGCCUCCACACCAAAGCUGAGCUAUUUGACCUUGGGUCUAACUUCCACCAGCCAGUGUAGGUCCAAACACCUAAUCUUCAUCAUGCCAGCUUAUGGUACCUGACUUUUAAUAAAUGAUUUCUACUUACUAAGUAUUGAUCUUUGUGUUGCUGGAUAUUGAGCCCAGGGCCUUGCACGUAUUAGGCAAAUCUAGUUCCAAGCAACUACAGCCCAGCCAAUUAAAUGUUGUUUUGUAUCCUGCUUUUUGUGUGUGUUUUUUUAAUGUGGUGCUGAGGAUCAAACCCAGGUCCUUGCAUCCACUGAACAUAUACUUUAUCAUUGAGCUAGAACCUCAAUCCUAUCAGAUGAUAUUUUAAUGCAGGGGAAAAGUAACUGGUAAUGUCACUGUUUGUUUUGUACUUUGGUACUAGCGAUCUCCUCUAAUAUAUUUCCUAAGGGUAGAAGCUAUUUCUUAUUCAUUUUCAUAUUUUUGUUCCCCCUAGGUCCUGGCAGAGUGAUUGGUGCACAACAGUAUUAAAUAUGUAUUUGUUAACUAAAAUUAAAAUUAGAGCAUUUGGAAAGAAUUAAAUUAUGACAAGAUAGAAAAUCCUUGCAACGGAAGAUGAAAAAAAUGGGUCUGAGGAGAGAGGAAAUUCACAUUUCCAGGAAAAAAGUCAUGUAUACUACAUAGAUUUUCAAUUACAUAUCAUUCACUAAGUACCCUCCAUGAACACUUUACAAUUAAAUUAAUAACAUUUCAAAUCUUUAAAAAGAUAAUAGUUACAGAAAUAGACAAAGAUUCAUCUUUUAAAAAUAUUUUAAUACUUUAUUUCAUGAGCACAAGUAAUAUGAACACUUAGUACUGGGAACAUUAUAUGAUUAAUCAUAUUAAUGAAUUAAUGGCUUCCCAGAGUAAAUGUUUCAGUUCUAUUUUUGCUUAAAAGGGAAUUAUUAGAGAGAAGGACUUUCUUUGGAGGGAGUCAGUUUAUAUUCUCUAUUCAACUAUUGGGUACAAUAUGACAAAAUAAUUAGAUCCUUCAUAAUAUGAAUGGGACAAUAAGACCAAGACAUUUUACUUUCCUUGCCCUAGAAACACUUAAAUGAUAAAAUAUCAGCCUUGGAUCAAACCAAAACCCAUUUGAUGCCUCCAUUCCCACAUCUGUCACACGGCACCCAGGGUUGCUGCUUCUUGUUGGGUGUGUGGUGCUGUGAUCUGUUAAUUGCUCUGCUCAGUUGGUACUGUCUUUCAUUCAGCACACGUCCUUUCAAAGAAAUGCUCAGAUAGCUCUUGUAGUCUUUUGAGAGGGAAACAAAUUUGUGGUACUGGCGGGUUCCUUAGAGACUCUUUCAGUGUUGUAAAGAUAUGCUGCAUGACUUCUUCAAGAGGCAAGUCAGGAUGGCUCAGAAUCAGAGUCAGGCUUCUCUGGAAUCAUCUUUCUCUCAGUUUGUGUUGGCCUGGGUCUACUGUUCCAGUCACCUCCUUCUCUGACGGUGCUAUUUUUCCUUUAAAUGGUUUUCACGGUAUACUUCUACAGUCUGGAUUCUUUUUAGAGAAUAAAGGAGGGUAAUGGGCUUUGGGAAGUGAGGGUAUCUGUCAUGCAUUUUACUUGGUACUAUUUUAUUUCUAAGCAAAAAAUGUAUUCGUUUGUUUUUAAGCAGAGUCAAAAAUGUUCCCACAUCAAGAUGCUUUUGGCAUCGAAAUGAUUAAACUGUGUCUAUUAUGACAAAACAGCCGGUAUCAAAAUGGCUGUUGCCUCCACUGGUUGCCAUCAAGAGAAUGCUCUCUAGAAUGCUCUUGUUGUUUAUAGGAAAAUAAAAAUAAAAAGUUAAAUUUCUUUCCAUUAACAUGUCUAUUUUCAGUUGGGUACUGGGCUUACUUACCAAGGGUUGUAUGACAAAAAUGCACCACUCCUUAUUCCUAAUGACCAAUGCCUCCUGCUAAAAGAGAAGUAGGUAAAAAUUGACACAGAUAAUCUAGCUUUUCCCACAGAAAUUGUGAAAGUCUCAUACUAAUUUUUAUAAUCAGGCUUUUAUGCUUUGCCUUCAUCAGAAAGAUCUUUUGGAAUUAUCUACUAAGAGCCGGCCAACAACUCUAUUCCAACAUAGGGGCAGCUCAGAGCCACUCACUCACUGCCUAUGAUUUCACAUUCAAUCACAAGUCUGGAAGAACCAUAAUACACGUGAAAUGCCUUGAUCUGCUGUCUCUUGAGAUACUCUGUUGGGUUGCAAAACACUUCCUGAAAGGUUUGGUGGUAGCAACCUUUCCUGACCUUUGUAUCCAGGCUAAAUAA